rnacentral:rRNA from 1 species
CCUACGGGAGGCAGCAGUGAGGAAUAUUGGUCAAUGGACGAGAGUCUGAACCAGCCAAGUAGCGUGAAGGAUGACUGCCCUAUGGGUUGUAAACUUCUUUUAUAUGGGAAUAAAACGUUCCACGUGUGGGAUUUUGUAUGUACCAUAUGAAUAAGGAUCGGCUAACUCCGUGCCAGCAGCCGCGGUAAUACGGAGGAUCCGAGCGUUAUCCGGAUUUAUUGGGUUUAAAGGGAGCGUAGGUGGAUUGUUAAGUCAGUUGUGAAAGUUUGCGGCUCGACCGUAAAAUUGCAGUUGAUACUGGCAGUCUUGAGUACAGUAGAGGUGGGCGGAAUUCGUGGUGUAGCGGUGAAAUGCUUAGAUAUCACGAAGAACUCCGAUUGCGAAGGCAGUUCACUGGACUGCAACUGACACUGAGGCUCGAAAGUGUGGGUAUCAAACAGGAUUAGAUACCCCAGUAGUC